rnacentral:rRNA from 1 species
UACGAAGGGGGCUAGCGUUGUUCGGAAUUACUGGGCGUAAAGCGCGCGCAGGCGGUCUUCCAAGUCAGUGGUGAAAGCCCGGAGCUCAACUCCGGAACUGCCAUUGAAACUGUUAGACUUGAGGAUGAGAGAGGUGAGUGGAAUUCCCAGUGUAGAGGUGAAAAUUCGUAGAUAUUCGGAAGAACACCAGUGGCGAAGGCGGCUCACUGGUCCGGUACUGACGCUGAUGUGCGAAAGCGUGGGGAGCAAACAGG